GUGAAGAAGAAUUCAUCGGGGCACUCAAGAGCUCUCUGCGAGCAUGAAGAGUGAGUAUUUGAUGUACUUGAGAAAGAGCACCACAUCAGUCCUACUGUACUAAUGAGGCCUGGAGCCAUAAUAGAAAAGGACAGCAGCAAUUGUCCUAACAUCGACGAGAACAGCUGCACAGAGCCAGCCGCACCUCUGUCACAUGACGAGUCCGUCCCAAGCCCCGCAAGAGCUAAACUUUCGAAUGAAGGGAAUAGGGAAGCA